GAUGAACGCUAGCGGGAGGCCUAACACAUGCAAGCCGAGCGGUAUUGUUUCUUCGGAAAUGAGAGAGCGGCGUACGGGUGCGGAACACGUGUGCAACCUGCCUUUAUCUGGGGAUAGCCUUUCGAAAGGAAGAUUAAUACUCCAUAACAUAUUGAACGGCAUCGUUUGAUAUUGAAAGCUCCGGCGGAUAGAGAUGGGCACGCGCAAGAUUAGCUAGUUGGUGAGGUAACGGCUCACCAAGGCGAUGAUCUUUAGGGGGCCUGAGAGGGUGAUCCCCCACACUGGUACUGAGACACGGACCAGACUCCUACGGGAGGCAGCAGUGAGGAAUAUUGGUCAAUGGGUGCAAGCCUGAACCAGCCAUCCCGCGUGAAGGACGACUGCCCUAUGGGUUGUAAACUUCUUUUGUAUAGGGAUAAACCUGCCCUCGUGAGGGUAGCUGAAGGUACUAUACGAAUAAGCACCGGCUAACUCCGUGCCAGCCGCCGCCGUAA
rnacentral:rRNA from 1 species